rnacentral:piRNA from 1 species
UUCCGGCUUAAUGUCUUCUGCUGGGAGGA